rnacentral:rRNA from 1 species
GACGAACGCUGGCGGCGUGCUUAACACAUGCAAGUCGAACGGAAAGGCCCUGCUUUUGUGGGGUGCUCGAGUGGCGAAAGGGUGAGUAACACGUGAGUAACCUGCCCUUGACUUUGGGAUAACUUCAGGAAACGGGGGCUAAUACCGGAUAGGAGCUCCUGCUGCAUGGUGGGGGUUGGAAAGUUUCGGCGGUUGGGGAUGGACUCGCGGCUUAUCAGCUUGUUGGUGGGGUAGUGGCUUACCAAGGCUUUGACGGGUAGCCGGCCUGAGAGGGUGACCGGCCACAUUGGGACUGAGAUACGGCCCAGACUCCUACGGGAGGCAGCAGUGGGGAAUAUUGCACAAUGGGCGGAAGCCUGAUGCAGCAACGCCGCGUGCGGGAUGACGGCCUUCGGGUUGUAAACCGCUUUCGCCUGUGACGAAGCGUGAGUGACGGUAAUGGGUAAAGAAGCACCGGCUAACUACGUG